UGAGCUGUGGAUUUCUGUUCAAAAUUGGCUAUGUUUCCCACAGCAGGGGACUUUGUUGUAAUGACAGGUGUUGGACAUUUGUCUUCCUCCUCCUUUCAACUCUAGCGGAGCCUCGUUCUAAUAAACAAUAAAAUGUUUUUGGCAGA